rnacentral:rRNA from 1 species
AGUGAACGCUGGCGGUAGGCCUAACACAUGCAAGUCGAACGGCAGCACAGUAAGAUCUUGCUCUUACUGGUGGCGAGUGGCGGACGGGUGAGGAAUACAUCGGAAUCUACUUUUUCGUGGGGGAUAACGUAGGGAAACUUACGCUAAUACCGCAUACUACCUACGGGUUAAAGCAGGGGAUCUUCGGACCUUUCGCGAUUGAAUGAGCCGAUGUCGGAUUAGCUAGUUGGCUGGGUAAAGGCCCACCAAGGCGACGAUCCGUAGCUGGUCUGAGAGGAUGAUCAGCCACACUGGAACUGAGACACGGUCCAGACUCCUACGGGAGGCAGCAGUGGGGAAUAUUGGGCAAUGGGCGCAAGCCUGAUCCAGCCAUACCGCGUGAGUGAAGAAGGCCUUCGGGUUGUAAAGCCCUUUUGUUGGGAAAGAAAAUCAGCAGGUUAAUACCCCGCUGUUCUGACGGUACCCAAAGAAUAAGCACCGGCUAACUUCGUG